ACUCUUUAUGAAUGAUGAUUCAAAAGAAAUUUUAAUUUAGACGUUAGACUUCUGAUGCUGGUUUUCGCCAGUCAGGAAGAAAGAAUUUCAUAUGUAUCUGACUCAAGAGU